rnacentral:rRNA from 1 species
GCCUAACACAUGCAAGUCGAGCGGCAGCAUGCUUAGUAGCAAUACUAAGUGAUGGCGAGCGGCGGACGGGUGAGGAACACGUAGGAACCUGCCCAAGAGAGGGGGACAACCAAUGGAAACGUUGGCUAAUACCGCAUAAUCUCUUAGGAGAAAAGUUGCCCGUAAGGGUAGCGCUUUUGGAGGGGCCUGCGUCCGAUUAGCUAGUUGGUGAGGUAAUAGCUCACCAAGGCGAUGAGCGGUAACUGGUCUGAGAGGACGACCAGUCACACUGGGACUGAGACACGGCCGAGAAGCCUACGGGAGGCAGCAGAGGGGAAUCUUGGACAAUAGGGGCAACCCUGAUCCAGCGAUGCCGCGUGGGUGAAGAAGCCCCUCGGGUUGUAAAGCCCUUUAGGCUGGGACGAAGGGUAUGGGACGAAUAAUCCUGUACUUUGACGGUACCAGCAGAAUAAGCACCGGCAAACUCUGUGCCAGCAGCCGCCGUAA